GAAAGAAAAAGGCUGCUGCUUCCCCUCUGCUAGCUCUCUGGAAUAGCAGAGUGAAUGAGUGGCGCCCGCAGCAGAGUCCCGGGUGGAACCGAACCCAAGCCUGCCCUUGCAGUGCCUGGGUGGGGCAUGGCCCAACCCUCCCUGCCCUGCACCGACAGGGGCUCCCAAGCUCCCAAGCUGCCUUCUCCUUUCCAAUCGCCAAGUUCCCAGAGGUAUUCUAUCGUAGCAACAGAAAAGAAACUUUCAAAAGCGGGUAUCUUAGCAACAGAAAAAUGAAGACCGCCAUCAUCUUCUUGCUGAAUGUGGAUAACAGCAAAGUCAAGUAGGGCCUGCUGAUCUGCACAGGUUGGCCUGGGUACUCAUCACUCACCCCCAUAGCAAGACCAAAGUCCUCAGUGCUCAGCUUCCAGCUCCAUCCACUAUGUCUGCUUGAUGCCAUGCUUAUUCUACUUGAUGCUGAACCGUCUGAAGCCACAAGCCCAAAAUAAACCUUCCUGCCUCAAGUUGCCUUGGUCACAGUAUUUUAUCACAGCAAUAGAAACAUUACUAAGACUCAAGCAAUGCAAACUCUAAAGUAUACUGGUGUGGGACAAUGCUCUGUAUUCUGUCAAUUAUAUUUUAAAUAAAUGCUGAUUGGCCAGUAGCCAGGCAGGAAGUAUAGGUGGGACAACC